rnacentral:rRNA from 1 species
AGCGAACGCUGGCGGCAGGCCUAACACAUGCAAGUCGAACGAAGUCUUCGGACUUAGUGGCGGACGGGUGAGUAACACGUGGGAACGUGCCUUUAGGUUCGGAAUAACUCAGGGAAACUUGUGCUAAUACCGAAUGUGCCCUUCGGGGGAAAGAUUUAUCGCCUUUAGAGCGGCCCGCGUCUGAUUAGCUAGUUGGUGAGGUAAUGGCUCACCAAGGCUACGAUCAGUAGCUGGUCUGAGAGGAUGACCAGCCACAUUGGGACUGAGACACGGCCCAAACUCCUACGGGAGGCAGCAGUGGGGAAUCUUGCGCAAUGGGCGAAAGCCUGACGCAGCCAUGCCGCGUGGAUGAUGAAGGUCUUAGGAUUGUAAAAUCCUUUCACCGGUGAAGAUAAUGACUGUAGCCGGAGAGGAAGCCCCGGCUAACUUCGUGCCAGCCGCCGCAGUAAUAC